rnacentral:lncRNA from 10 species
CGGACUGUUCAACUCACCUGGCAGCCACUCCCAGAGCUCCUGGAACUCUGGCCCUAGGCUCUCUGACUCCUUCUUGGCUUACCGGCUGAAGACUGACACUGCCCGAUCACCUCGGAAGCCCCCUAGACCAUCACGGAUGGCAAGCUUCGGGUAACUCUCACAGAGGAAGACACCAGUUGGAGACAAUUCAGCCUCAUCGUCCCUUGCCAAAGGAUGCAAUGAUUCUUAAGGUGUGGCUGGCCCUGCCCUCUGCUCCAACCUGGAAGUUUUCACAGGCCUCCCAGCAUUGCCUGGGGACCUGGGGAUGGAAAAUUCCUGAGACUUCCAGGUUACCCUGUGGUGUGGAGAGAGAAACCGUUUAAGAACAUCUGGUGUAGAAGAUCAGGAAUAUGAAAGAGGCUUCAGGAACAAGGUUUUAUUGGGAAAAUUUAUCAGCCUCUCUACUACAGAUCAAUAAAAACUGACAUUAAAAUCUAACUGGGUUGGGCUUAAUCUGAAGGUUUCUGUGAGACAGAAUCGUGGGUCUUGUCAUCUGCAUGGAGAUUCGCUCAAAUAGAUGAUGGUACAAAAGAAACACCCCUGGCCAGGCGCAGUGGUUCGUGCCUAUAAUCCCAGCAGUUUGGAAGGCCAAGGCCGGCAGGUGGUUUGGGCCCAGGAGUUCAAGACCAGCUUGGACAACAUAAGGAGACCUCAUCUCUACUAAAAAUUAAAAAAAAAAAAAUUAGCUGGGCAUGGUAGCAUGUGCCUGUGGUCCCAGCUACUUGGGAAUCCCAGCUACAUGGGAACUUGAGCCCAAGAGAUUGAGGCUGCAGUGAGCCCUGAUCGCACCACUGCACUCCAGCCUGGGUGACAGGGUGAGACUCUCUGUCUCAAACAAAAAUCAAACAAAAGAAACACUCCAAGAAAAGAGCCAACUCUGGUUUAUGACUCUGUACCCUUAGGUUGAAUGCCAAGUUCAUGGGAAUCAUCCGAGAAGCCGGGACAAGAGCUGCUGUUGAUGGGAGGCUGUGAAUUGUGCUUUUAGUGACUCGCUAAGCAUAGAACACUGACACUCAGGGCACACUGGGUGCUGCAAUUUCCAGAAGGGAAAGGAAAUAAAAAGGGUUCACCUUCUAUGUCUCAAUUUUAUCUCUUAUUAACAGGAACAGCUGGAUAGAGUACACAGAUAUGCUGCUGUGUGAGUCCCUGUGGAAAGGUACCUCCUGGGGAUCACCAGCAGGAAAAGUCCCUCAAACACAGAAAGCUUGGAGGGGACUGAUCCGACAGAGUCAAAGACACUUAGGCUGUUUCAUGUUCAAACAUUAGAGAAUUUUUAUAAAAUCAUAUAGCAGAAUUUAAGAAUUUCUUAGAAAAUAGAUGGGAUAGAUACCAAACACCAAAAUCCGAUCACAUUUAUUAUGACUUUUUCGUGCUUAUUUCUCUCCUCUUUUCACUUACCAGUGAAUAGCCACAUAAUUAUCCUACUAAACCAAUCCAUAAGGCUUCCUGGGAUUCAGCCCAGGGUUUUUAGCUCUAGGAAGCCUUCCUUUCAAUUCUGACAAAGUGGUCAUACCUCUUGGUGUUUUCAUCGCUAUUCAAAUACACAGUAUUGAAAACACAGAUUGAUAUCCUGCCAGCCUCUCAUUUGAUCACCCCAAGGUGAACAGAUUUAUGAGCUGUGACUAUAAGAUAAUGAGGACGCUUUUUAUAAACUCUCUCUUAGAGUGAUACCAACAGGGGCACCAACUAUACUUUGAAUAAUAACCUCAUCUUGAGAAUAAAUG